AGCAAGUGCUAGGGGUGCCUUAGUGGCUGAGAAAUGAAUGGAAUUCAUUAACCCUUCACCUGAUCUGGGUAAUUCCAGCGUAGGGAAGCGUACGACAAUGUAU
rnacentral:ncRNA from 2 species